GACGAACGCUGGCGGCGUGCUUAACACAUGCAAGUCUAACGGAAAGGCCCUGCUUUUGUGGGGUGCUCGAGUGGCGAACGGGUGAGUAACACGUGAGUAACCUGCCCUUGACUUUGGGAUAACUUCAGGAAACUGGGGCUAAUACCGGAUAGGAGCUCCUGCUGCAUGGUGGGGGUUGGAAAGUUUCGGCGGUUGGGGAUGGACUCGCGGCUUAUCAGCUUGUUGGUGGGGUAGUGGCUUACCAAGGCUUUGACGGGUAGCCGGCCUGAGAGGGUGACCGGCCACAUUGGGACUGAGAUACGGCCCAGACUCCUACGGGAGGCAGCAGUGGGGAAUAUUGCACAAUGGGCGGAAGCCUGAUGCAGCAACGCCGCGUGCGGGAUGACGGCCUUCGGGUUGUAAACCGCUUUCGCCUGUGACGAAGCGUGAGUGACGGUAAUGGGUAAAGAAGCACCGGCUAACUACGUGCCAGCAGCCGCGGUGAUACGUAGGGUGCGAGCGUUGUCCGGAUUUAUUGGGCGUAAAGGGCUCGUAGGUGGUUGAUCGCGUCGGAAGUGUAAUCUUGGGGCUUAACCCUGAUCGUGCUUUCUAUACGGGUUGACUUGAGGAAGGUAGGGGAGAAUGGAAUUCCUGGUGGAGCGGUGGAAUGCGCAGAUAUCAGGAGGAACACCAGUGGCGAAGGCGGUUCUCUGGGCCUUUCCUGACGCUGAGGAGCGAAAGCGUGGGGAGCGAACAGGCUUAGAUACCCUGGUAGUCCACGCUGUAAACGGUGGGUACUAGGUGUGGGGUCCAUUCCACGGGUUCCGUGCCGUAGCUAACGCUUUAAGUACCCCGCCUGGGGAGUACGGCCGCAAGGCUAAAACUCAAAGGAAUUGACGGGGCCCCGCACAAGCGGCGGAGCAUGCGGAUUAAUUCGAUGCAACGCGUAGAACCUUACCUGGGUUUGACAUGGAUCGGGAGUGCUCAGAGAUGGGUGUGCCUCUUUUGGGGUCGGUUCACAGGUGGUGCAUGCCUGUCGUCAGCUCGUGUCGUGAGAUGUUGGGUUAAGUCCCGCAACGAGCGCAACCCUUGUUCACUGUUGCCAGCACGUUAUGGUGGGGACUCAGUGGAGACCGCCGGGAUCAACUCGGAGGAAGGUGGGGAUGACGUCAAGUCCUCAUGCCCCUUAUGUCCAGGGCUUCACGCAUGCUACAAUGGCUGGUACAGAGAGUGGCGAGCCUGUGAGGGUGAGCGAAUCUCGGAAAGCCGGUCUCAGUUCGGAUUGGGGUCUGCAACUCGACCUCAUGAAGUCGGAGUCGCUAGUAAUCGCAGAUCAGCAACGCUGCGGUGAAUACGUUCCCGGGGCU
rnacentral:rRNA from 1 species